GUGGGAAUGAAGUGGUCAGUGAAGGAGAGAGGAGUUAUCUGGUGACUGGGAAGAUGGAAAUUAAACAUUGAGAACUCAGGUCUUCAUCAUGGGAAGAUCUAGAUUAUCAGAGAGCCUUGAUCAUUGAAGAAACAACAAAUGAUAAGUGUGGCUGUUAUGCAAAGAGAGAAGCAGGAAGGACCAGGUGUGUUCAGGGAGGCCAGCAUGGGUGUGACCUCAACAGAAAUUGUCCUAUUCCUGAAGCGCUACAAGCUAGGGCUGGACAACUUGAUAUAAAUGUCAGAGGAUGAUCUUCAUGCAUGACGCUUAGUGUCCCACUUAGGAAGUUCACCAAACAUUCAAUGACAUGACAAGAGACAUUCAGACUGAAAAGCAGAAAAAUUAUCAGACUGCAACUGCCAUUUUAUUUCAUCAUCUAAAGAUGCUUUGAGCUGAAAUCUAAAAAUCUUCUCAACUAACUGCCCUCUGGGCUCACAUGCUAAGCUUACAAGUAGCUUUAAACAUUAACUUUUUGUUCUCCUUUAGUUUAUUUCAGUUGGUUUGGUUCAGGUGUAC
rnacentral:lncRNA from 1 species